rnacentral:ncRNA from 1 species
AAUAAACUCAGGAGAGUCUCUUCCCCAUUUUUAACAAGGUGGAAGAGCGCCGAAGGUGUAAGCGGUAUCAUGCUGUCCCGCAUCGGAUACCGUGAGUCUCUCAGGCAAAAGGAUGGAGGUAUAA